UUUGCAAUGUGCGAAAGCACGACAAGGUUAAUCCGAGUGGUUUCUGCUAAAGGAAUUUUUUGUUAGUCAUAGAACCACUAAUGAAUAAGGGGUGGGCAAGUUCUGGUGUCAGCCGCCGCGGUAAAACCAGCACCUCAAGUGGUCAGGAUGAUUAUUGGGCCUAAAGCAUCCGUAGCCUGCUUUGUAAGUUUUCGGUUAAAUCCAUACGCUCAACGUAUGGGCCGCCGGGAAUACUGCAAAGCUAGGGAGUGGGAGAGGUAGACGGUACUCGGUAGGAAGGGGUAAAAUCCUUUGAUCUAUCGAUGACCACCUGUGGCGAAGGCGGCCUACCAGAACACG
rnacentral:rRNA from 1 species